GGAAACGCGACCCCGCCGGGCGGCGGCGGGCACGGCGUGCCCGGCCCGGGGCGGGGAGAGCCCGGGGGAACCGAGCCCCACACGGACGGAAAGCAGCGCCUCGCAGUGCUGGCGGGGUUUUUUGUUUGGAUGAAAACUGAAAAAAAUGACCCCCAGUGAAAUAUGUGGAAACAUUCUCGUGUGGAAAGGUUCAUUUUGAAAUCUUCCAAUUCAAACUGUCUUCCUAGAUGGAAAUGUCACUUUCAACUUGAUUCUCCCCCAGUGUUGAUAAUCCCCUCCAGUCACUGAGUACUGUCUGCAAAACAAGCAAAAGAGCUCUGUUGUGAAGGAACAAAAUCAGCUUGGCCACAAAUUGUCAGCUCAGAAUAAAAAUAAAGUCUCAGAAGAAGGGCUGAGGUUGAAGGACACCAUUCAGAAGUUGCAAAAAGCCAGGUCAAGAGGUCUGUGACCAGAAGGAAGGAACCAGCCCUUUUCUAAAGAGGAUGUCAUUUGAGUCCCCAAACAGAAAUCUCUGCACUACAGCACUGUGGAAAGCCUGGUCAGCCCUGGCUAAAAACUCAGGCUAAACUGGGUUACGUGAGUCACCACUUCACUGACUUCAUACCUCAGGCACGACGGGAAGUAAUGGUAGUGAUGCUGAUAGACACCAGAGCACAGAAGAGGGGAGAAAUAAUGAGAAGCACAAAUAAAGAGCCAGUUUCUCCUCUAUGAUGGCUAGAAGGAAUCCGCCAUAGGAUUCCCUACUCUAAUGGUACAAGUCAGCCAGCUCUGGGUACCUGCGCGGCAGGAACGGGGCAAUGAAGACAGGGAGCUCCAGGGAACGCUGCUCGCCCCGGCAGCGCCGGGAUCGGCCGGACCGGGACGGCUGCGCCACCCCCGAGCGGGUCCGGCUCCAACAGCCUCGGCCACGGAUUGCUCUGCUGGAGAGGGGACCGAGGGCGUGCGUGUGUGCUGAGGAGGUGCUGCUGGAAGAGCGCAAAAUGCGGGCACGAGAAUGAUCAAACCAUUCAUUACAUUUAAUAGCCUUGCUGUUUUCAUUGGACUUGGCAUUGCAGCAGAAGGUAGGAAAGCAUUAGCCAAAGGAAAAUCUAAAUAUGACCUAACGAAGCUGGAAGGGGAGUUAAGAAUUUGGACAGAAAUGGUAUUGGUUUAUACUUUUCUUCUUCUUUUUUUUUUUUUUUUUUUUUUUUUUUUUUUUUUUUUUUUCUCUUUUUUUUUUUUUUUCCUCCAAGAAACUACUCCUCUUUACAGGGGUGCCUCUCCAGCUUGCAAGUUUCGAGCAGUAGUUUCAUCAGCUUUACUAUGGCAAAGGCAGAUCCUGGCCAAAGGAUCCUUUGCUAUCUGGAUUGCUGCUUGCUGUGCACAGGGAGGCUUCUCCCCGGCUGCCAGGCAGGAGCAGGACAGGGGAAGUGUUGCUUGCACAAUGCAUCAGGAGCAGCAGCGUGAGCCUGGAAGUGGGAAAGCACAGUCACCAGCUAAAGGCUGGACUUCAAAUUCACAGGGGCAAAAUUUAGAAUUCAACAUCCCUGUGCAGCGUGUCUUAGCUCAGUGUGUAAACAUCAGCCCUCUGAUGAAAGGGAAGGAAAUCAGCCCUGUUUGUAACAAAGUUGAUGCAAAGGUUAUCAGUGGCUGACUCAGCUGGUCCUUGGUUGAUGCACAGGCAUUCGUGGCUGUGAAAGAACUGAAGCUCACAUAAACAACUAACAAAAGCUAUAUACAAGGGAUUUAUUACAUGAAUAAUUUGACAUACUCCAUGGCAGUCAGAUACAAGUGCAUUUAAUUAAUGUUUUGUGGACAUCAUAACAGUCGGAAUAUUUCAGCUGAACAGUCAGUAUUUGGCUGAAUUCAAGCCAGUGCAAUUCAUGACAUAACCAGAAACAGGGAGUUACAGGUCUACAAUGAGGUUAGACUAGAUAGCAACAGCAUAUUUAUUGUCACAUCAAAGCAUUACAAAAUAUGAAAGCCCAAUAUUUCAACUAUCUCUAAAAUGGUAUUUGUACAAAGCUGUUGUAGAUACUUAAAUGUAAGGAUUCGUUGCAUCAGUAAUGGACCAUGACUUUAUUUUUGGAAGUUAUUUGAAUAUUCAGAAUUAUUUGGGGCAACAAGAAGAAAUGUAAACAUCUGACAGUCCUCUGAAGGUCCCUUCUGAGAAAAUACAUUGUGUGCCACAGGAAAAGUGCAUUCUAACUGGUGUGUCUACUAUGGCCAGUUUGACUCACAUUCACUUAGCACCAGGUAUUUAUCCAUUUCUGCAGUAAAAAGUUAGAAAAUCUUUGUAUUAACUCAGAAAAGAGAAAACAAAGUCAAAAGUUUUUUUUUUCUUCUUCUUUCUUUAAAGGAACAACAAGUAAAUUUUAAAAAAAAACCCCACCCAACAUUUAAACAGUUGACUCUUAUUUACAAAGGAACCAGGAGCUAGCAAAGCGCAUAGCCCCUGAACAGUCUUUAUUAUUUAUUUCUUCAGGUUCAUGUACCUGAAUAUAUGAGUUUAUUUACAGCUGGACAGGUAUCCACAGAAGUAGUAAUCAGAAUUUUUCUAUUUGGCUAGAAGUUGUAUAAAAAAAGACAAAACACUGUUCAAAUACUUUCCAAAUAUAUAUAUAUUAAAAGUAUUCAGUAUUUCCAUCAGUGCCAGAGUUGGAAGCUCUUUCUCAUUGUAAAAAGUUAACUUUGUGAUAGUGACAGCAAAGGACUGACAGAGUCAGUCAGAGCUUUGAUUUGAGGGACUGCAGCUGGAGCUACCCCAGGCCCAGCAGGCAGAUUGCAGGGAAAUGAAUCCAUGUGUGUCUGUUGCAGGGACAGGCCACGUCCUGGUGGAGGGUGACCUGCUGCUCCAGAGAGCCUCCCACUCACGCUGGACAAUCCUGUGGAACCCUCUGGGGCAGGUUCCCUCGGAGAACAAACACCCCAAAACCUCUGAAGUAGUGGAAAUAUUCUUUAUGCAAACGAACAACUAGCAUGGGCAGGUAGCUCAGUAAAUGGAAAAAUGUAAUCACCACACUAAUUCUUGUAAAGAAUAUAAAAUUAAAGGUUUGGCCCCUCAAAUACAAAUACAUACUUCAAAAAUAUUUUUUAAUUAACAUAACCUAGACGAGUGCAAAUCUCUGGAUACAUAAGAAUAUGACAGCCUUCAUACUGGUAUCAAAUACUCAAGCAGUUUGCAUAUAAACAAAAUCUUUCUUUGUUGUUGAGUCCAUGCUUGCUUUAGUCUAAAGAAAGGAUAUUCUUAUUAAUUCUACUUUUUUGGUCUUUCUUCCUGUAGGAUAAAGCCUAAGAAACACACUUCAUUCAUUGAGUAGACUGGGCUGUGUAUAUUACAGUGACAACCCAAAAUUUAAGUAAGAAAUGUUGCAUGCAGUAUCUUUUUCCUUUAUUUAAUUACACCAGCUACAAGAACAAGACAUCCAUUUUCCAUCUUUCCUGCUCCCUUCCAACAGAAGGUACAGUAAACCCAGUCUCGGAUCCUUCAUCUCUUGCACAUCCCAGCCCUGAAGUCCAUCAGUGGUUAGGACGAAGGGCUGAGCAUUUUGAGCACGGCAUUACCUGGGGCAGCUGGUCUCAGCAGAGAGACCACAACCCCUGAGGAGCCAUCCCUGCCUCCCAGGCGCUGCAGGGCACCGCGGGGAUGGUCAGAAGGAGCCCGGGCUGCUGGCAUGGCUGCAAGGGCUGUCUCAAGGGGGACGAUGGUGUCUGCAAGCCCAGGGGCAGUGGCCUCUCCUUGGCACAGCUGGGCUGAGUGUGGCUCAAACUCCUCCUGAGCCUGGGUGAGAGCAGCUGCUGGCCCUGCUCGGCCGCCCCAGCGCCCAGGAUGAGCCAGGGUGCAAGAGGCGCUGGGGCUGGAGCAGCUCUGGCGCAGGGAGCACAGGUAUCACACCCCUGUAUUUGGCCACACUGGGCCUGGGAGCCCAAACUGCUCCCCCAGAGCAUGCCAGGUCCUUGACUUGCCCACAGGUCCCUAACCACUCUGCUCCUCGGGCUGUGCAGCUCAGCAUUCCUCUGUCCUGCAUCUAAGGUUUUUGGAGAGCAGAAACAAGACAGGAGAUAAACAUCUGCCAAAGGAGAUGGGAGCCCCUGCAGCUCCUCAAGUUUGGGGGUUUCUAAGCUAGGGGAAAGGUUGAAGUGAUUCAAGAUACAGUAUGCAGCUGUGUGAAAAUGCAUAGUUUGUAUGAAUACAUUCAUUUACAAAGACCAAAGGAAGGUCCUUUGCUAUGUAGUUCAAUCACCAUCUGCUUUUAACAAAAAUGUGAGCUGACAAAGCGACAGGAUGUCAGUUAAACACAGCUCGGGGGUUAAUGGUAGCUGAAUGGCCUUUCCCAAAUAGAGAAUUAAUGUUUCUUUUUGCUUUUUGGAGAUAAUUUUAACUAGUUUUUCAUUUGAAGUCUGUUGUUUCUCUAAUCAUGUAUUUUAGGAUGUCAAGAGAUUCCUAUUCAACUGUGGUCAUCUCAGUAAUGACAAACCCUGCUUUGAGCAUUGUUAAGAAGUAAAAGCCCCGUAAGACAAACAAGCAAAACAACAGAAACCUGGGUUUAGCUAUGGUGUGCGAACUAGAUCAAAACAUGGUUCUUCUGAACUGCUGAAAUUCUAGUUCAGUAAUGAGUGGUGCUUUUUUGCUGUUUUCUUGAUUUUUUUUUUUGUCUUUUUGUUGUAAUAGCUGAGCUAAUACUGAGAAAAUCCUAUGAGUUUGCUCACCUUCCUUUUAUUUAGUUGACACUUUGGAUCCUAGCUGCUUCUCGUGAGGAAUGUCUGUUGUCCUGAGCAUUCCUGAACAUACAACAGUAAUGUAACAGGCAGGAUGGGCUUAAAUUGAGAAAAUAUUGGCCUAAGUUAUCUACUUUAAUGUUUUUCUCUCUUUGCACUUUUUCUGAAGAAAAAUUGCUUUGCCACUUGUGACACUAAAACACAGUAGUCUGCUUCCAAAUGUAACUUUAACAAAGAUCAGUACUCUCUGCUAAUCAACAUGUUCUAUAAAUAUUUAAUUCAGCAAUGGAUUGACUUUGCUUAUGAUACUUUAUCUUCAUGUUUGUUUCAUGUACUUGAUUUUCACUUAGUAUUUGACUUAGAUUCUUUCUUGCAACUUUUAUUCAACUGUAUCUAUGGAAAUUGCACAAAAACAUUUCUGAAGCUAGAAAAAAGAAUCAGAUUCACAUGGAGGAGAGUAACAUUAUCUAAGCACACUUUGCAAUCUAAAGUCAAGAAACAUUGCCUGUUGCUUAGUGAACUGAUCAUUCAUCGGGAAGUGGAAAAGUAAUAAAGAUUAUUUUCCAUACAAACAAUGAAUAUUAGAAGUGCAAGAGGAUGAGAUCUGCUCAUUCCUAAAUGCAUUGACCAGAAACAAAUUAUUAAUCAGCUGAACUACUUGAGAAAAAAACAAACCUUCUGAAUUUUUAUAAAGUUACUCUGUACAAGGCUGGUUUAGUGCCUUGUAAAAUUGAUAAAACUCAGGAGCUCAUGCUUAGCAAAUCACGAAUUCAGUAGUCAUUCUUUAAAGAUUCAGAUACAAGCAGAUACUUCUCAGUACCUUAACUCAAUUAUUUUCAUCAACUUUUAGGUAUUAAUAUGCACUUCUUAAUUUUGCAAAUUUUUUUAAUUUAAGAAGAACAACUGAAAUGUUUGGAGUGUCCUGACUCGUACUGAAAAUGACUCCCGAGAUAUCUGAAGUCCAUUGGAAGUACUCUUGGUUCAGCAGGCAGAAUUGACUCAUAUGCUGACACAAAGAUUUUAACUUUUUUUUUAAUAUGAAAUAACAGCAAAAUUCUCAGAGGAAUUUUGGAGGGCCCAAGUCUGGGUGGGCUUUGAUCCAGCACUAAAUCAUUUUCAGUGACAAUGAGCUCAGAGGCUUUUUGAUGAGUUAUGGCCAAGGUCCUCUGAAUUCUUGAGUUCUCUCCAGCUGCUGGUGAUACAGGGGACUGUGGGAAUUUGACAGUGGUCUGUAUGGUGGCAUUUUGUUUUGUGUUCCUAAUGCUGUGAGAAUGAAAAAAGCACCUUUUUCUCACAAGAAACAGUUUUUUGCUAUGUCUAAGUCACUAUCAAUGGAAACCUCUUCUCUAAAUGUGCUGUGCCGGCCCAUUGGCUGCCCCCAGAGGGCAGAAUCAAACCAGACUGCGAAGGAAUUGCAUCUGCAAGUCUUCUCUUCUAAGCUUUCCUUCAAACAUUCAUGGAAACACAGCAACCAGUCGUGCCACAGAGCUGUGUUUGUGCUGCCUGACAGAACAUGACCUUGGACAGGGCUGUCAUCGCUCUUGUUCCUCAGCCGAACACGGACUGAGUUCUCAGACCCCUGUGCUUACUGUAAAGGUUUCCAGCUUAGUGUGCCCCAUGGUUCCAGGAGCUGAGUCCUGCUGUGCAGCCCUCAUCUCGGUGGUGCCGUGGGCAGUGACACCAGUCCAUGCUUCUCCUCAGCACAGCUACCACUGAUGUUAAGCACGAGCCUUGCACACCACUGGCAGUGUGCUGGCCUCGCUCCAGGGACUCCUGGUGAUCCCUGGAAGGACACACCAGCUUUGCAGCAUGCACAAAUACCUGGAUCAUGCUCACCUUUUGCAGGAAGAACUACAGCUUGAUUAAAAAUGCCAAGGGGAUACAUUUGCAGUCCAAGGUGAAACUACACCCAGGCUAUUGGAGCAGCAGGCAGCUUUUACUUUUACCUAUGAAAGCAGAAAAGAGCAGAAUGUCUGGAAGCCUCCGAAAAUGAACUGGGGUCUCUGGGAGGUGGCCAACUAAGAGCUUUUGCAAGGAUGGAUUUUACAUGACUUCUGAGCUGUGCAUGGUCCAUACAUACACACGCUCAGCCUGGGAGAGGGGAGCCCAGGAAUGAUUCACCCUGGGAAGGAAAUGAGCAUCGCUGCCUCUCUCUGCCCUCUUCACUGCCAUUUGCCCUGUUUUCCCCAAUUUUCUACAUGUGAUUUGGAAUAAAGAGUUUGGACAAAGUAAAAGUCAAAAAGGUCUUUAUUUUUCAGCAUGCUCCAUAAGAUUUAAAAGGAUUCUAUGCUGGGGCAAAGUAACUGUUCUUUGUUCAAAAUGCUGAAACUGGCAUCUACAAAUUAAGAUAAACUACAUGGAAUAGUGUAAGUGCUGUAAGCUUAACACCAAAACCAAAGGGAAGAUGAGUUUAUUAAUUCCCUUAGGAAUAAAAGGAUUGUCUUUAGGACACUAGUUCCCAAAACUAGUGGGGAUGAAGUCAAGAAAAACCAAAUGGAAAUGCUAUUGCCAACCUGGCAGUGGGCCUGCAAGGUGGGAGAGCUGCUGUUUAAGGCAGGCAAAUGGGCUCCUGCUGGUGCCUUGUACCAGCAUGAGUUCAUCCCCUGCAGGGCCCAGGGGCCUCACAGGCUGCCCAUGGCACAGCGCUGCAUCAGCACGGGCAGAAAUGGCUCCUGGGUGCUUAAGUUAAACUCACUCCCAGUUUCUACGAGCUCUUGGCUAAGAAACAGUUUCACACUUCUUUAAACUAGAUUAGGCUAUUUUUUUAAACCCUUAUCAAUUAAACAAAUGCAGGUUUUGAAUAUAAGGAAAUCUACCAUCUAGAACUUGGUCUCCCCUUCAUUCACAUUCCACUUUAAACCAUGAUAUCCAUUAAUGUAUUGAAUUUACCAAAUGAUAAGAAAUAUCAGAAGCUGUAAUAUUUCUCAAUGUAUCAUUAAAAAAGUCUCUGAUCCAAACAGAUUAUUUACUGUAUUUUAUGGAACUUGCAUUUUUUAUAAAAACAUCUUAGUUUCAUGGUUAAUUUCAAGUUAAAACUAGAUUAAUAAAACCUUUACUGUUUUGUGUAUCAAAAAUACAUGGCCCAAAAAGUGAAAAAAAUAUAUAAAGUGCAAUGCAGAGCAAAUUAAAGCUCAGUAAUUUUACACUGAAGUGAAAGAGGAAAUGCUCUGGUUCUAAAAAUACUAAUUCAGAAAAAAUGUUUUUAAAAAAGAACUUGAACUUACAUACUCUCUGAAACAAGAUUUGUUAGGAAACAAAGGAAGAACAAUGUAUGCAGGCAGGUAUUUAUCUUUUGUGACAAGCAAGAAAAAAGGAUCUGUGGAUAUAAAUACUGCAGUCUUCUGCAAGCAGAAUGUUUUAGAAAUCCUCUACUCAUAAAAACUAGUUAAUUGGGCUUUUAGUUUCCUACAGCUGCUUACCCUGUGCUAAAUUCACCCCCUUCUAUGAUAGAAAUACUUCUCUUACAUGAGACAAUAUGAAUAGGAAAUGACAAGAAAACAUCCUUGCUUAUUCAGAGUUAAAAAACCCCACAGCACAAUUGAUGCUGGUGGUCCUCUUUCUUCAGCUACCUGAUGACCUCUUGCCCAGCAUUGCCAUCACUAUUAAAUUGGAGCUGUAAUAAAAAGAGGCUGAGAAUCUGCACUAGCAAAGCAGCUGAGAAUCUUUCCUAGUUGUUACGACAUCUGGGUAAAUGUAUACCCUGGUUCUCUGUAGCCCAGAGAUCUUCAGAGGUCAUGACUUCCCAGCCCCUUAAUGAACCUUGCAGGGUCUGAGAUUACUAUGAAUAAUUCCAGACUGGUUCCAGGGAGGAACAAGGUCCAGUAAAGUUGUCUUUCAUGUCCCUUAACUCCUCCAAUAUCUGCUUAGCAAAAUCAUGGAGCAGUUAAGAUGCAGUUUUGAGACUCAUUGCAUGUACAAUUAUUGAUCUAAUUCUUCUCUUUUCCCCUAUAUAUCUAAUUUUAUAUCAAAAUCAAUGCCACCAGCCAUAGGUGUAGCUCUCCUGAGUUUAAUGUUGUAGGGGUAUGUGCAAGUUCAGGUCCUUAAUGAGACUCCAGACAAGACAGAGUGGGAUAAAGGCAGUAUUACCAUGCCUGCCCAUGAAAGGGCAGGGGCACAGACCCAGCAGGCCAUACAAUAUCUAGCUUUAUACAGACCAACACUUACAGGACUGGCUCAAGCCAGCAUAACUCAGGAAACCUCUCUCUAGAAAUGUCUCUGCUGAGGGUAGGAAGAGCUUUUCCUACAGGAGCACAAGCUUAUGUCACCUUAACCUGCUGUGGAACCGCAGUCUGAUGCAGGAUGCAGAGGUCUAAAUGUACUAUAAUAUUCCCAAACUCCAUCACUGACCAAGAUAAUGUCUGGCUCCUUGCACAUGGAAUGGAUGAAGCUGUGUUAGAAAUGCCACAGGCAAGCAAUGAGGCAAUGUCCUCUUCAUAAAGGUCUACUAAUAAAACACUAACUUAGGAAGUCUAAGACUUGGGAAAGAGUUGAGAAAGAGCCUCCUUUACCUGGGGGUCCAGCCUGGUUUAGGGCACAGCGUCGGGUUCCAGCAGAUCUUUGGGAAAAACUUGGUUAAUGUUCCAGGGCUCUGUGAGAGCCCCCACAGGAGCUGCAGCAUGGCUCUGGAAGGAGGGAAACAACCCUGCCUGAUUUGAAGUCUAACAAUGCUGUGACUCAUUCAGUGACUUUCUGUAACAUAAAAGCUGUCCCACAGUUUUAAUUGCUGAAAAAGAGAUUCUUUCUCUUUAAAAGAAUGUCUUGUACUAUAAGCAUGUCAUGAAUGCACGUGGAUAAGCAACCUCCCUCAAGCUGGACACAGCAAAGGCAGCACCUGAGCCAACAGCACAUGGACUGGGAUGGUGACUCCUUUCACAGUGGGCUGGCUAUCCUGGAUCCCUGCUGAGAAACCCCCUUCUCCCUGGGGCUGGUAUCAGCAGGAGAGAUUACAGGCUGAGUACCACCAGCCUAACAGCUCUUACAUCUGUCACUAGGUAACACAUUCAGAGUUGGGUAUGCCUAGAAACUCUUCCAAGAGCCCUGCAAGUGUGCAGAGGUAUCCACUGUAUUCACCCCUCUCACCAAGCUGAAUGCACCACCCUCAAGCCCUCAGAAAGGGAGAGUCACAAUUUCACACUCCCAGUUCCAGUGGAAAGUACACAGAGGAAAACCCACGUGCCUUUGUUCUACAACCACUACCUGUGUGAGCAGCCCUUGUCAAUGAAGUUAUUCAUGGGAAUAACUGAACCCUCCUGAGAAAACCUGUACUGCUUUGAGGGCUCAGAUCUGCAUUCUGCUCUUAAUUGUGGAAUAAGACUUUUUAUCAGACUUGUAAUUUACAAAAAAAAACCCAAAAAACCAACCAACCAA